UUUAGAAAAGCAUCUGGAUGCCCACGCCACCACCCUCCCAGCCACCUCUGAAGUUGCCAGGCUUCCCAACAUUCUUGUCUGUGAUAUUAAAGCCAUGACAGCAAACAGCCCCUUUCUCCUAAGGUUCCUGAUUUGAAGUGGCAAAACAAGGCAGUGGCAUAGUCUCCUGUCCUAUGUCCUUGGCAUGCAGCCUCCACCCAGCUCUGGCUGCAGAGGGCCGCACUCCGCUUGUACCGCAAUUCAUGCACAGUCCAGACUUAUACAGCAGCCGGCAACCCUAAGGGCAGGAUGAUUCCGAGACACACCAAAUCUUUGGCUUCAGGUCACAUGUUGCUCUGGAGAACCGAGAAGGGUGAGCAGACACCAAUCAUGACCCCAAACAGCAAGAGGACAGAAGAUGGUGAGCAGUUUACACAGGUGCUCAACAAAUGUAUUUUAAUGAAUGUCUACAA
rnacentral:lncRNA from 1 species